rnacentral:rRNA from 1 species
GAAAAUGCCACACUCCGAGAACAAUAUCCGGCUCUAUACAACACUUUGCGGCACAAGGGUGACACUAUCGCCACGGUAAUGGAAUUAUUUCCGCCAAAUGUGAUGUUCAGAAGAGAUUUAAUUGGACACAGACUCCAAUCAUGGAACAUCCUACUACAACGAUUGUCCACGGUGCAAUUGUCAUAAGGGUCUGAUGUAUUUCAAUGGAACCUCCAUCGGAAUAGACAUAUUCUUCAUGAUGCUCUCUUUAUGUUUCAAUUCUUAUCCUUUAUGUGA